GCUUCUCUAGUGUCAGUGAGUUAUUUACUCUGAAAAAUAAGAACCUAACAGAAGGAAUUUAUGAUUAUGGAAAAAUUCGUUAGGGUAAAAUGUUAAUGUAAUAGAUUUGACAUUCCAAAUUUGGGCCUCGUUAUAGAAGAAAAUAUUCCUGCAAGUUAUACAAAUAWUGAUUAAGUGUGUUUGGGAAUAGCAUUGUGUGAAUGUGUUAUCAGUCUGAAGUUUGGAUAAUAAGAUACAGAAAUGUUUAUAAUAAACUGAUUUAAAUAUGGAUAAUAAGUUUAGCUAUGUAGCAUAAUAGUUGGGUUCCGUACAUCACUGCCCAUCAUAGAAUAUCACAGGGUGGUAUUGAGAGCGGGAUGUUAUUUUAUAAAGUAGAAGCAAGUCUAUAGUUUCUGGGAGGCUAGACUUUGCCGUGGUUUCUGGGAGGUUAGAGACCCAUUGAGGAUCCCAUGACACGCCGGGCAGCAUCCGGGAAACUUGGGUUUUGGGUUCCGCUGGGAGUAGGGCGARGGAGAGUUGUUGGAAACGCACAUGGAGUGGUUAAUUAAUGUUAUAGUGAAGGUGACUACAGAUGGGGUCUUGAUGSAUGGCAGGGAUAAUUCGGCCAAGAACGAUGUGAACCUCAAAACCCCCUCUGACCAGCUGAAGAAGAAAAUGGCAUUCAAUACGGCCCUGUCCUCACAACUUCUAUCGAGAGACUGGAGUCAGAGCCAGCAUCCUGUACACUGCAUCCAAUCGAAGCUAUCAACUGCUUUUUCUCUCAGGCCUUUUCUCCCAGGAGUGUGACAGGAGUCCACGUGGAGUGAGGAUGGAGAGAGAUCUGUUCCAAACUUCUCUCAUGUUGCUGGUAUACUGGUUGGCAAAUGAACAAGACAUAAUGGGUGGUAGAGGUGGUGGUGGUUAGGUGAGACAUUGAGCUUGGGACAUUAUCAUGGGCCAUCCACUUUGAACUGUAAAGCUAUCUGAAGAAGAAAAUGAAGAGAUGCCAGAAGAUUGAGUGCCGGGGAAGGAAGGAGUUGGUCAACUGUUGCCGUAAUUGAUUUAGCCUUGUCCAAAAUMGUUUAUUUUGGGGUAUCAGGUUGAUUGUGGAGGUCUAUACUCUGCUAAAUGUAUAGUAAUUUAGAAUAAGAAUACAUUGAGAUACUGAUCUGUAAUUAUAAUUGUGAUGAGAAAGUUGAUACUACAAUUAUGGAUAAUUAUACUGUAUGUUAAUAUAAAUGUACAUUCUGCCAGUGUUGAUGUGUGUUAAAGUUUUAACUUUGAGUGAUAGAACCAAUGAGAAUCKCUGAAGCAUUGUCAUUCUAAAUUUGGGUUGGAUAAUUCAUUGAGUUUUGAUUAUGAUUUGGAAGCUGAAUGAUUUUUUGAAAACUGACUAAUUGAUUUGAGUACGUUUUUAGUAUGAUAAUAACUAUAAGUGGAUUGUUUUUGAUUGUUGUUUUACUAAUUGUGACAUGAGUAAAGAAGUUGUGUACUAAAGAUGUUGACACUAUUCUCAGCAWGCCUUGGUGAAUGGAGAGGGUGAACUCUGAUCCUGAGAGUGAAACUGAUCCUAAUCUAUUUGAUUACAUUUUUGAUGAUACUGAUAAUACUCAGGAACUAUAGCAGGUUUAAGCUAAUGGGAACAUAGAGUCCAUAGYCGUUGCCUUAUAAAUAGUGAGYUCAUGAUGCUUGUCCUGGGUCAUAUUCAUUAGGCACUAAACUGAAUAAAUUGUAAUUAAACCAGGAGUCACUACCUGGAUUUGUCCAACAAUAUAUGCUAAUUUUAGUUUCUACAGAUGGGGAUAGAAAUAGUUAUUUCCACUAUGCUGACCAAUGGGAGUGUGCUCAGUAUCAACAUGAGGAUUGUGUUUCGUACUGAUGGUAAAAUGUACUCCGAUUUAGAUUGCUGAGAAUUUCUUAACGAUAUUUUAAUGUUUAUAUUAUUCCCAAUGAAGGAUAAUUUUAUGUUAAGGUUGAAAAACUCAAUGAACUAACGGAUGGUAAUUUACAAUGGUAAUAUACUGGUGCAAGGAUUAUUUUCCUAUAUGUUUGAGUUAGAGGUUUGAUAUUUUAUUUUUAUUCAUGUAUUUWAAAAAAAGUUGUAAUUAUCUUUUAAGUUGAGACUAAGUCUCAAAAUGGGGGAAUGUGGUAGAAUUACAACAAUAUGUUAAUAACAUUACUUUUAUAUUAGAAUGUAUUCAUAUUAGUAUUUUCACAAUGUCUGUUCUUCUGAAAUGAGUCUCUGAGGCUUAACGCUGACAGUUGAUUUACGAUGCCUUGGUGAUAAAACCUAAAGACUGCAUUCCAUUCCAUGAUUAGUGUCUGUGUGCCUGUCUGCUGGUGCCAGGCAGGACCUCCCUCCAGUUUAUUUCUCCCACAUGGCAGAUGAAUACUGGACUUCAUAAAUUAAGGGAAGGACCUAGUGUCCUAUGUUGCAUUAGUAUUUUUGUAUAACAAAGUAGUAAAUGACCUAGAGACAGAAACCUGGUGCAAUGUAAAUGUUGCAUGAGAGCACAAUGUACCUUUGUAUAAUUUCACAAAUCUGUUGUUUGUCACAUAUWCAGGAGAAUAUGUCUUAACUAUGAAAUGCUGUGGCUUAGUUCUGCUCGUAGAGUUCUCAGUGAUUACCUUAAGGGUGGUUACCAACCAACUCCAUUASUGCAGUAAUMAAAUWAUAAAGUUGUGUUGUUUUAAAGAAA